rnacentral:lncRNA from 1 species
GGUCGUCCAAGUACCUUCGGCCUACAACGUCAUACUUGGAAGACCUGGACUAAACAUCCUCAGAGUGAUAGUCUCGACAUAUCACUUGCUAGUCCGAUUUUCGACUAAAAAUGAAGCUGAAAAAAUGCACGGGGAUCAACAGCUCGCUCGGCGAUGCUUUCAGAUCUCAACUCAAAAUAAUAAAUCAGAGGAUUCCCUACCGGUCGACA